rnacentral:rRNA from 1 species
GAUGAACGCUAGCGGCAGGCUUAACACAUGCAAGUCGAGGGGUAUAGUUCUUCGGAACUAGAGACCGGCGCACGGGUGCGUAACGCGGAUGCAAACUACAUUUUGCAGGGGGAUAGCCCAGAGAAAUCUGGAUUAAUACCUCAUGGUAGGUGCGAAUGGCAUCAUUUUCACAUUAAAGUUAAAAGGGCAAAAGAUCGGCAUGCGUCACAUUAGCUUGUUGGUAAGGGAACGGCUUACCAAGGCAACGAUGGGGAGGGGUGCUGAGAGGGAGAUCCCCCACACUGGUACUGAGACACGGACCAGACUCCUACGGGAGGCAGCAGUGAGGAAUAUUAGACAAUGGGCGCAAGCCUAAUCCAGCCAUGCCGCGUGCAAGAUGACGGUCCUAUUGAUUGUAAACUGCUUUUGUACAGGAAGAAACACUGGUUCGUGAACCAGCUUGACGGUACUGUAAGAAUAAGGAUCGGCUAACUCCGUGCCAGCAGCCGCAGUAACAC